rnacentral:rRNA from 1 species
CACGUAGUUAGCCGUGGCUUCCUCCUCAGGUACCGUCAUUAUCGUCCCUGAAGACAGAGCUUUACAACCCGAAGGCCGUCAUCACUCACGCGGCGUUGCUGCAUCAGGGUUUCCCCCAUUGUGCAAUAUUCCCCACUGCUGCCUCCCGUAGGAGUCUGGGCCGUGUCUCAGUCCCCAUGUGGCCGAUCACCCUCUCAGGUCGGCUACGCAUCGUCGCCUUGGUGAGCCGUUACCUCACCAACUAGCUAAUGCGCCGCGGGCCCAUCUCAUAGCGGAUUGCUCCUUUAAUUGCUACUUCAUGCGAAGCUACAAUCUUAUGCGGUAUUAAUCUCCCUUUCGGAAGGCUAUUCCCCUCUAUGAGGCAGGUUGCCCAGUGUUACUCACCCGUCGCCGCUAGCUUUGUUCCGAAGAACUCCACUCGCUCGACUUGCAUGUGUUAGGCACGCCGCCAGCGUCGUCCUGAGUCACGGAGUCAAACUUU